rnacentral:snoRNA from 1 species
CUGCAGCUAAUUAAGCCCACAAUUCUCCUUCCCUCAUGGAAGUCUGUCUGUAGUGACUACAGGAAUCAGCCUCCUCAGUGGUCUAUGCAGCCAGUUGCUUGCAUGGGUAGCUCCAAGAGACCUUGAAGACAGCC